AUACUACUCCCUCCGUUCAGAAAUACUUGUCCUAAAAAUGCAUAUAAUGGAUGUAUCUACAAUUAAAAUAAGUCUAGAUACAUUCAUCUCUAGGACAAAUAUUUCCGGACGGAGGCAGUACAAU
rnacentral:pre_miRNA from 1 species